rnacentral:rRNA from 1 species
GACGAACGCUGGCGGCGUGCUUAACACAUGCAAGUCGAACGAAGAGCGAUGGAAGCUUGCUUCUAUCAAUCUUAGUGGCGAACGGGUGAGUAACGCGUAAUCAACCUGCCCUUCAGAGGGGGACAACAGUUGGAAACGACUGCUAAUACCGCAUACGAUCUAAUCUCGGCAUCGAGGAUAGAUGAAAGGUGGCCUCUACAUGUAAGCUAUCACUGAAGGAGGGGAUUGCGUCUGAUUAGCUAGUUGGAGGGGUAACGGCCCACCAAGGCGAUGAUCAGUAGCCGGUCGGAGAGGAUGAACGGCCACAUUGGGACUGAGACACGGCCCAGACUCCUACGGGAGGCAGCAGUGGGGAAUCUUCCGCAAUGGACGAAAGUCUGACGGAGCAACGCCGCGGGAGUGAUGACGGCCUUCGGGUUGUAAAGCUCUGUUAAUCGGGACGAAAGGCCUUCUUGCGAAUAGGGAGAAGGAUUGACGGUACCGGAAGAGAAAGCCACGGCUAACUACGUG